rnacentral:rRNA from 1 species
UACGUAGGGUGCGAGCGUUAAUCGGAAUUACUGGGCGUAAAGCGUGCGCAGGCGGUUUUGUAAGAUAGAUGUGAAAUCCCCGGGCUCAACCUGGGAAUUGCAUUUAUGACUGCAAGGCUAGAGUACGGUAGAGGGGGGUAGAAUUCCGCGUGUAGCAGUGAAAUGCGUAGAUAUGCGGAGGAACACCGAUGGCGAAGGCAGCCCCCUGGACCUGUACUGACGCUCAUGCACGAAAGCGUGGGGAGCAAACAGG